GGCACGAAAGGAUAUCACUGUUUCUGACUACAUUCCACAGGAUGAGGCUGGAGACUGUGACUUUCCUUGUGUUGAUAAACAUUGCUUACUCUCAAGACGAUUGCAAUGCUGGCUCAUGUUACCCACCCCUUGGAGACUUGCUUGUGGGUCGUAACAGUCAGCUUUCCGCUUCCUCCACCUGUGGCUUGAAUGGGCCUGAAACAUAUUGCAUCCUAAGUCACUUACAGGAUGAACGGAAGUGUUUUACAUGUGAUUCAAGAUCAUCUUUCAACUCUAUCAGCUCCACUUUCAGCCAUCGCAUUGAAAAUGUUAUCACAGCUUUUGAACCAGAUCGGAAAAGGAAAUGGUGGCAAUCAAGAAAUGGUGUGCACCAUGUCAGCAUUCAGCUGGAUCUGGAGACACUCUUUCAAUUCAGUCAUCUGAUUCUUUCCUUUAAGACUUUCCGGCCAGCGGCAAUGCUUGUGGAGAAAUCAUCAGAUUACGGUCAAACAUGGAAUGUCCUGCGAUAUUUUGCGUAUGAUUGUGCACACGUCUUUCCAAGUAUCCCUACUGCACCUGCGCGGAGAGUGAAUGACAUUAUAUGUGAUUCAAAAUACUCUGACCUCGAACCCUCUACAGAUGGAGAGGUUGUUCUGAAAGCACUGGAUCCACAUUUCCAAAUCCAUAAUCCAUACAGCCCAGAGAUACAAGAGCAAAUAUCACUUACCAACCUGCGUAUAAAUUUCACUCAACUUCACACCCUGGGUGAUACACGAUUGCGGAGGCAAGCGAGACCUGACGAAAAGUAUUAUUACGCUCUGUAUGAAAUGGUCGUUCGAGGAAGCUGCUUCUGCUAUGGACAUGCCAGUCACUGUAUUCCAGCUGAUAAUAUAAGAGGCGAUGCUUUCAGCCAACAAGGAAUGGUUCAAGGGAAAUGUGUCUGUCAACACAAUACAGAUGGCGUGAACUGUGAGAGGUGCAAGGACUUGUUCAAUGAUUCACCAUGGCAACCAGCUAUAGGGACAGAGACAAAUGAAUGUAAAAGAUGUAACUGCAAUGGACAUUCGGAAAGAUGUCAUUUUGACAUGGCUGUGUAUUUGGCCAGCGGAGGGGUCAGUGGUGGGGUCUGUGAGGAAUGUCAGCACAAUACAAUGGGACAAAACUGUGACCAGUGCAGGCCCUUCUUCUACCAGGACCCUGGGAGAUCAAUUUCUGACCCGUAUGUGUGUGUCCCCUGUAACUGUGAUCCUGAAGGCUCGGUGAACAACGGGAUGUGUGAAAGUCACUCAGAUCCACAGCUUCGUACGGUUGCUGGCCGCUGCAUUUGCAAAAGAAAUGUUGAAGGAAGAAGAUGUGAUCAGUGUCGGUCUGGGUAUUUCGGCCUGAGUGCUGUUAAUGCUGAAGGAUGUAAGGAUUGUCGGUGCGAUGCACGAGGUAGUGUGUCAGCACACUCAGCCUGCGACCCAGUCACUGGAGAGUGCCAGUGUCUACGAACUGUCACUGGAAGGAAUUGUGAACGGUGUCUGCCAAACUACUGGGGACUUGGUAGUAGUCUCUAUGGUUGUUCCCCCUGUGACUGUGACAUUGGAGGAGCCUACGAUAACGUUUGUUCCCUGCAGGAUGGACAGUGUCGAUGUCUACCCAAUAUUAUCAGUCGCCAAUGUAAUGAACCAGCACCUGGUUACUUUUUCCCUCCACUGGAUUACUACUUGUAUGAAGCUGAGCUUGCACAACAAUUAGGCAACAGCGUUUCUUCCUUGGUGAGGCCAACAUCUAUGCCAUUAUGUGAUCAGUAUUUACAACAGCAAGGCUACAACUUUCGGGUGGAUCAAGGCAGACUGAUACUUCACAGGAUUGCUAAGCGUCACUUGCGACGGCAGAGGAAGAGGCAAACAGUGAAUCCAGAUUUCCAGGUACAGAUUGUUUCCAGGGAAGCUACUCCUGAUCGACCUGCCACCUGGACCGGCCUGGGAUUUGCCCGUGUACCAGAUGGAAUGGGACUGCGGUUCAUCGUUGACAAUAUUCCAUACCCAAUGGAUUUCACAGCUGUCAUUCGCUAUGAGACAGAGUCAACAGAGGAUUGGGCAGCUCAUGUUCGAGUUCAGCCAAGGAAUCAGCAACAUGGGAGCCAGUGCAGAAGUAACUUGCCCUCACAGGAAGGUUAUACACUCACCAUGCCGGGGACAGCCAGAAUAGCAAUUCUUCAAACCCCCAUAUGUCUGGAGCCACAAGUACAGUAUAUUGUGGAUAUUUACUUCAAUCACGCUCCUGCUCAGAACAGCAAUCACAUCUUGAUCGAUUCUUUGGGUUUGAUUCCAAGGAUUAAUUCGCUGGAGAAUUUUUGCACUGAAGCAGACUUGGAUGAGUACAGACGAUACCAAUGUGUUGAGGUUGCCUCUCAAGUAGGACCUCAGACCCUGCCAGAAGUGUGUGAGAAACUGAUAGCCAGCAUGUCUGCUCGAAUCCACAAUGGAGCUGUUGCCUGCCGCUGUAACCCUCAGGGUUCAAUCAGUCCCACCUGCAGUAAGUUUGGUGGUCAGUGCCAGUGUAAACAUGGCGUGAUCGGGCGAUGCUGUGACUCCUGUGCACCAGGAUUUUAUGGAUUUGGGGCGAGUGGUUGUUCAGCCUGUUACUGCGACCGUCAAGGAUCUGUUAAUUCCAUCUGUGAUCAGAUAACCGGACAGUGUGGUUGCCGCAGGAAUAUUGUUAAUCGUGCCUGUGACCGUUGCCGGCCUGGAUAUUAUGGAUUCCCGAGCUGUCGGCCCUGUCAGUGCAGUGGCUAUUCUGAGAGCUGUGAUCCUUGGACAGGGGUGUGUCAGAACUGCAGAGCAUUCACCACUGGAAAUAACUGUGAGCGAUGCAGUGAAGGUUUCUAUGGAAACCCAACUUUAAAUGAACCUUGUCAGCCCUGUCAGUGCCCUGGUAUUCCAAACAGUGGACAAUAUUUUGCCCAUUCUUGUUAUGAAGACCCUCAGACUGAACAACAGAUUUGCAACUGCCUUGAAGGCUAUACAGGAAUCCACUGUGAGAAAUGUUCCCCUGGCUUCUAUGGCACUCUGGUCGGGAUUGGAGAUCGCUGUCUACCUUGUAACUGCAAUGACAACAUAGAUGGAAGAGAUCCAGAGGCUUGUGAUCAACAGACAGGAGAGUGUUUAAAAUGCCUGUAUAAUACCUAUGGAGCAAACUGCCAGUUUUGCAAGCCAGGAUAUUAUGGAUCAGCAGUGAACAAGGAUUGCAGAGAGUGCCCUUGCAAUGGCAUUGGAGUCGAUAGAAGGCGCUGUCUUCCUGAUGGUUUAUGUAUGUGUGAUCAAGUGACUGGUCACUGCCCGUGCUUACCUCACGUGGUAGGGAGCAAUUGUGAGAAAUGUGCUCCAGGCUUCUGGAACCUGUCCAGUGGAAGAGGGUGUGAACCAUGCUAUUGUGAUCCACAGAAUUCUGCCAGCACUCAGUGUGAUGAGUUAACUGGACAAUGCCAGUGCAAGGAUGGCUAUGGGGGAAAGACAUGUUCUGAAUGUCAGGAUAAUUAUUAUGGCAAUCCAAAGGUGCAGUGUAACCCAUGUAACUGCAAUUUUGGAGGAACAAAAAGGCCGGCAUGUGACAAGACAACAGGGGUCUGUAAAUGUCGUGAAGGGGUAACAGGGAAACAUUGCAACAAAUGUGCCUGGGGUUACUGCAAAGAGUUUCCAAAAUGCACACAGUGUCACCCUUGCUUUAAGCUGCUGGAUGAAGAGAUUUGUGCACUCAUCCCAGUAAUUGAAGGACUGUCCAACAAAACCACAUCACGCAGCGACAAUCUGGGGCCUUCCUUUGACGACCGGUUUAAAGAACUUGAAAAGAAAAUUGCUGAGGUUGCCAAAAUUCUGAAUGGCUCAGCUGCUUCCCCUGAGGCGUUCGAAAAGACCAAGGAUUAUUUUGAAAAGAUCAGGAAAAACAAAAUGAAGAUUGAUCCAAAUGUGAAUAUCUCCAAAGACACGAAGGAACUCAACAGCGUCAUCGAUGAUCUUAAUAAGGAAGUUGACAAGCUCAUCGAGGAUGUGAAUCGUUUGAAAAAGAAGCCUGCAAUAAAAAACGUGACUGGUAGCUUCGAAGACAUCGAAAUGUUUUACCAGAUUUCAAAAGCCUCUGAACAGAAAGCGAAUGUUUCAGAAUUACUGAAUAUCUCAGAAUCUACAAGAAAAAAUGCAACUGCUUUGUUAGACAAAGCAUUAUUGACAGAUAAAGAUGAACUUAAUGCACUGAAGCAAAAAACUGAACUUUUGGAUUUGAGAAAGGCAAACAAUAUGAUUUGCGGAGCACAGGGAAAUCUAUCCUGUGAUAAAGAUCCAUGUGGAGGAGCUUUAUGUCGUGAUGUUGCUGGAAAUAAAAUAUGUGGUGGCCCAAACUGUAAUGGCACAUUGUUUAUGGCAAGUGUUACCAAAAACACUGCUGAAGAAACAAGUGAUCAGAUGACCCAGCUCCUUAAUAAAAUGCUGAAUACAAUUAGCAAGAUUGAUUCUAUCAGAAAUAGAACACAAGAAACUAAGGAGAAGGCAACCAAGUUAUCAGAUAAGUUAGUCAAGACCAAGGACAAACUUGAAAAAGAAAAGCAAGAAACUAAAGCCAUCAUCAGAAAAGUGAAAGAGUUUCUCACAGCUGAUGGUGUUUCUUCUGAGGAUCUUGAAACAAUUGUGAACUAUGUCCUUUCCAUCAAGUUACCCACUACUCCUGAGGAAGUGAAGAACAAAAGCAAGCAAAUUCAGGACAUUCUUUCUGAGAUUAAAGGCAUCGAUAAAGAAGUGGAAAGACUAAACAACCACUCCCAAGAAGCAAAGAUGCUUUUGAAACGUGCAAUGAAAGCUGAGAAAGCAGCUCAAGAGAUUCCAAACCCAAAAGAACUGCAGAAAGAACUGGACAAAAUAAAAGUAGUACAACAAGAAGUUACAGCCAUAGUGAAAACAAUCACAAGUGAUCUCGACAAUUCCAAGUCAAAAAUUUCACAGGUUAAUGACAAAAUCAAAUCAAUCUCUGACAAUCUCAUGCAUUUCAUGAACAAUAUAACACAGUUCCAAAAUGAAAUUGAAGGACUGAAAAACAAGACCGAAAGCAACAAAAUAUCAACUAAAAAGGCAAUGGAAAAAGCAAAUGAAGCCAAGACUCACGCUGAUGAAGCUGAACAAGAAUUUAAAACAUUGAAUGAGGUGUAUGCAAAAUUAAGCAAACUGAACAUACAAGAGAUUCCAGUUGAUGGAAAACAAAGAGCAGAAAAAUUACAACAAGAGGCAAGUAAUCUGGCAAAAGACCUGGAAAAAAAACUAAGGAGGAUUACAGGGAGGAGGAAAGCUCUCAACUUCAGGAGAAGACAGAUUGCUUGGUCAAUUGGGCAGAAAAGUGGCAAGUGGAAUUUAAUCCAGAGAAGUGACAGGCAAUGCAACACAAGAACAUUCCAUGAAUGGAAGCACAUUGAGAAGUGUAGUGAAUCAGAUGGACUUUGUCCAUAGAAAUUUCUGGUCACAACAUUUAAGAGGAGAUGGAGAUCACACUGGAGAGGUUACAGAGGAAAGUUACAAGAUUGUGAAGUAAGAUAGGAUAAGAUGGCCUAUUGUGAAGUAAGAUAGAGGAGACUUAAUUGAGAUAUACAAAAUUACGACAAGUCUUGAAAGAGUAACUAGGAAGGAACCGUUUCCCUUGGACGAAGGGACAUAGAUGUCAAGCAACUGCUAGAAAGACUAAGGGAAGAUAAGGAAAGUGACUUCACCCCAAGGGCAGUGAUGGUUUAGAACUCACGCCUGAGAAAGUGGAAGAGAAUUGGAAAAACAGCUAAAGGAUGGAAAUAAGAAACUGAAGGAAAAAUCAGAUUACUUGUCUGGAUUAGAAAAAAACGUGACAAGUAUUAAAGAGUUUAUUGAGGAGAAG